rnacentral:rRNA from 1 species
CUACGGGCGGCACCAGGCGCGAAACCUUUACAAUGCACGAAAGUGUGAUAAGGGAAUCCUAAGUGCUUUACUUAUGUAAGGCUUUUUUUAUGGGUAAGAACCAUAAAGAAUAAGUGGUGGGCAAGACUGGUGCCAGCCGCCGCGGUAACACCAGCUCCACGAGUGGGAACCGUCUAUUUGGCCUAAAGCGUCCGUAGCCGGUCUAAUAAAUCUUCUGUGAAAUCAUUAUGCUAAACUUAAUGGUGUGCAGGAGAGACUGUUAGACUUGGAACCGGGAGGGGUUAGAAGUAUUUCUGGGGGAGCGGUAAAAUGCUAUAAUCCUAGAAAGACUACCUGUGGCGAAGGCGUCUAACCAGAACGGAUUCGACGGUGAGGGACGAAAGCUAGGGGAGCGAUCCGGAUUAGAUACCCGUGUAGUC